rnacentral:rRNA from 1 species
UACAGAGGUCCCGAGCGUUGUUCGGAUUCACUGGGCGUAAAGGGUGCGUAGGUGGCCUGAAAAGUUUGAUGUGAAAGCUCAGGGCUUAACCCUGAAAUGGCAUUGAAUACUGUCGGGCUGGAGGUUUGGAGGGGGGACUGGAAUUCUUGGUGUAGCAGUGAAAUGCGUAGAUAUCAAGUGGAACACCAGUGGCGCAGGCGAGUCCCUGGACACUUCCUGACACUGAGGCACGAAAGCUAGGGGAGCAAACAGG